AAAUUAUUGAGCUUGGGAGAAGAAUUAUUGAUGUUGCCAAUUCUAGAUGAAAAAAUUUCUAGCAAGAUCAAGGAAAGACCAAGCAGAAGAGCCUGCUGAAGAAUAAUUUAUCAGAACGUGGGGGGAAAGGAAUUCAUGAAAUUAAUGGAAUGCAGAAACUAAAAAUCCAUAUGCCAUCAACAGCUGUUAAUAUGAUCACUAAGGUUCUCAUGACAAAAUCAUUGGCAAUCAACUAAAUCCUAUUGCGAACUACAGAGAUCAACUGAUCUGAAUAAAUUAACUAACAGAUCUGAAAAUUCUGAUAUUAAAAAUUAUACACGUGUGUGUGUGUGUAGAUUGCAUUGCCUAUGUGUCCAUAACAUAACUCAUACAGAAUAAAGAUGGAAGUUAAAAAUUUUCUUACUGUCCUCCCAUUUCUUAUAUGAUGAUUUGACAUAAAAGUGCAGUUUCAACUUUGGAAAAUAGCGAUGGACAUGAUUUAUCCAUUAGGAUUGUGCAACCACAACAUUAUUGGUA
rnacentral:misc_RNA from 1 species